AUUAUAGUCAGGUAAAAUGAGGCAAUUUGAUUGGUCAAAUGAGUCAAAUUUGUGCAGUUACUGAAAGCAAUUCGUGGUUCACCGUCCAUCGACAUUAAAAGUUUUGUUUGUUGAGUAUUUUGAGUGUUCACUAUCUGAUAUCUCAAUCAUUUGUUCAGCUG